CCUCUGGGGCACCUGGCAGUGGCCAUUGUCGGAAGACAGGAUACUGGGCUAGAUGGACCUUUGGUUUGACACAGUAUGGCCGUUAUGAUGAUUAAUAUUGAUUGAAGACAA